rnacentral:lncRNA from 1 species
CUUAAGGCAGCAUCAGGCAUAGCUUGAUCUGAGCCGCAAGUUUAUACCGGCCUGCCAAUGGUAAGAGGAGCCCAGGUCCCCUCAGGGGGAGUGGCCAGGCAGGCAUCUGACUGAUCCCAUCACAGGAAACCCUCUCCUUGUCUGUCUAAGAAAAAAAAAAAAGGAAGAAACUGUCAUAACUGUUUACAUGCCCUAAAGUCAACUGUUUGUUUUAUAUUGAUUGUUCUGUUCAGUGUCUAUUGUCUUGUUAGUAGUUGUCAAAGUUUUGCAUGUCAAGACGUUGAUAUUGCCCAAGACGUCUAAGUAAAAACUUCUUCAAAGUCCUUAGUGCUGAUUUUUUGUCACAGGAGGUUAAAUUUCUCAUCAAUCAUUUAGGCUGACCACCACAGUCCUGUCUUUUCUGCCAGAAGCAAGUCAAGUGUUGUUACAAGAACAAGUGUGAAAAACAUUUGCCUGAUUAAGAUUUCUAGCACCAUGAAAGUUGUACAAGAUAUUAUCCUGCCACUUGUUUGAGGAGCCCUUCCCAAUCCAAUUCCUGACCAGAAAAAGUCCUGCCAUUCAUUCCAGCCAGGAGACCUAGCAUUUGUUAAAAAGUUCCAAAAAGAAAGACUCACUCCUGCUUAGAAAAGACCUCACACCGUCAUCCUCACGACUCCAACUGCUCUGAAAGUAGGCGGCAUUCCUGCUAGAUUCAUCACUCCCGCAUCAAAAAGUCCAACAGAGCCCAGCUCAAAACAUAAGUCCCCAGGCCUAAGUCAGGCCCCUUAAAACUGCACCUAAGUCAGGUGAAGCCAUUAGAUUCAUUCUUUUUGUCUACCUCACUUAUUUGUUUUUGCCAGUUACAUCCUCUGUGCCUUCCUACUCCUUUCUCCUCACCUCUUUCACAACAGGACGUGUAUUUGCAAACACCACUUAGAAGGUCCGUACCUCCAAGGAAGUCUCCUUUGCAGUUGAUUUAUUUGUACUAUUCCCAAAGCCAGCCCACACCCACAAAAACAACACCAUCUGCCAGUCCCAGGAGCAGGAAGUGUCGACCUUGCAGCAAGAUUCAGACACUCCAAGAGCCAAACUAAUUGCAGAAGCUCCAAAAGUGCAGAAAAAAAGACUCCAAAAUGUUGACUUUUACCUCUGUCCUAGAAAUCACCCUGACGCUAGCUGUCAAGAUGCUUAUCAGUUUUUCUGCCCUGAUUAGACAUGUGUAACUUUAGCCACCUACUCUAAAAGAUCAACCAGAUCUUCAACUCUUUCCAUAACUCGUGCUUCUCAUCCUAAAUUAUGUACUAGAAAAAACUGUAAUCCUCUAACUGUCCAUGACCUUAAUUCAACUCAAUAGUAUCAUGGCAUGUCAUGAACAUUAAGAUUUUAUAUCCCAGGAUUUAAUGUUAAGUAUAUGUUCACCAUCCAAAAAAACCCUAGUCUCAUAAAGCCCACCCAAGUCAAUCAGGCCUUUAACUGAUCUAAGUAACCCUAUGUUCCAGGAACACCCUGACAAAGUUGAUUUAACUGUUCCUCCACCUUUCUUAGUCAUAAAAGAUACACUCCAAAAAGUGCAAGAAAAUCUAGAAAAGCGCCAACAAGAACAAGAAAGUAACAUCCCCUAGUAUCAACGCAUGUUCAACUAGAACCCAUAGCUAACCACUCUAAUUACUAAGUUAGCUGGACCCCCUCCCCAUCCUACUAAUAAGUCUAAUUUUGGGGCAUUGUAUAUUAAGUUAGUUUCUUAAUUUUGUAAAACAACGAAUAGCUUCUGUCAAACUUAUGUAUCUGAAGACUCAAAAUAACCCCCUUUUUAUAACUGAAGAAUCAACGAUUUGAUUCCCCAAAAACACAAGUGAGGAAUGUAAUGCCCAACCAUGUUUUUACUCACCCUGUUUUUAGACUCUCCCUUUCUUUUAAUGACCUAGCCUUGUUUCCACCUGAAUUGACUCUCCCUUAGCUAAGAGAGCCAGACAGAUUCCAUCUUGGCUCUUUCACUGGCAGCCCCUUCCUCAGGGACUUAACUUGUGCAAGCUGACUCCCAGCACAUCGAAGAAUGCAAUUAACUGAUAAGAUACUGUGGCGAGCAAUAUCCGCAGUUCCCAGGAAUUCAUCCGAUUGAUAACGCCCAAAGCCCCGCGUCUAUCACCUUAUAAUAGUGUUAAAGGCCCUAGACCUAAAACUGUUUACUUUCCUGUAACAAUUUAUCCUUUUAACUUUUUUGUCUACUUUACUUAUGUAAAAUUGUUUUAACUAGAACCCCCUCCCCUUUCUAAACCAAAGUAUAAAAGAAAAUCUUAGCCCCUUCUUCGAAGCCGAGAGAACUUUAAACGUUAGCCGUUUCUUUGCCGCCGGCUAAGUAAACAGACUCUUAAUUCAUCUCAAAGUGUAGCGUUUUCUCAAACUCGCUCAAGAACAACACAUCCAGCAGGCAAGUCAUCCACUCUAAAAUGCCAUCCUGGGGUAGUGAAGAUGAUGUUGCUGGAAAUAUCCUUAAAUGGCAUGUGGAUGAGUUCCCCCAGAGGCAUACAUGUUGAGCUAAGAACUUUGCUGAUGAAGGGUACAAGUUGAAGGGGUUU